UGGGGGAUAUUGCACAAUGGACGCAAGUCUGAUGCAGCGACGCCGCGUGAGUGAAGAAGUAUUUCGGUAUGUAAAGCUCUAUCAGCAGGGAAGAAAGGCCUCGCAAGAGGAGAUGACGGUACCUGAGUAAGAAGCCCCGGCUAACUACGUGCCAGCAGCCGCGGUAAUACGUAGGGGGCAAGCGUUAUCCGGAUUUACUGGGUGUAAAGGGAGCGCAGACGGAACAGCAAGUCUGAUGUGAAAGCCCGGGGCUCACCCCCGGGACUGCAUUGGAAACUACUGAUCUAGAGUACUGGAGGGGCAAGCGGAAUUCCUGGUGUAGCGGUGAAAUGCGUAGAUAUCAGGAGGAACACCGGUGGCGAAGGCGGCUUGCUGGACAGUAACUGACGUUGAGGCUCGAAAGCGUGGGGAGCAAACAGGAUUAGAUACCCUGGUA
rnacentral:rRNA from 1 species